rnacentral:rRNA from 1 species
AACGAACGCUGGCGGCAUGCCUAACACAUGCAAGUCGAACGAGACCUUCGGGUCUAGUGGCGCACGGGUGCGUAACGCGUGGGAACCUGCCCUUAGGUUCGGAAUAACUCCCCGAAGGGGGUGCUAAUACCGGAUAAUGUCUUCGGACCAAAGAUUUAUCGCCUUUGGAUGGUCCCGCGUUGGAUUAGCUAGUUGGUAGGGUAAAAGCCUACCAAGGCGACGAUCCAUAGCUGGUCUGAGAGGAUGAUCAGCCACACUGGGACUGAGACACGGCCCAGACUCCUACGGGAGGCAGCAGUGGGGAAUAUUGGACAGUGGGCGAAAGCCUGAUCCAGCAAUGCCGCGUGAGUGAUGAAGGCCUUAGGGUUGUAAAGCUCUUUUACCCGGGAUGAUAAUGACAGUACCGGGAGAAUAAGCUCCGGCUAACUCCGUG